rnacentral:lncRNA from 1 species
GAAACCCUGUCUCUACUAAAAAUACAAAAUACAAAAAAAAUCAGCCUGGCAUGGUGGCGGGCGCCUGUGGUCCCAGCUACUCUGGAGGCUGACGCAGGAGAAUGCCGUGAACCCGGGAGGCGGAGCUUGCAGAGAGCCGGAGAUCACGCCACUGCACUCCAGCCUGGGCUACAGAGCAAGACUCCGUCUCAAAAAAAACCAAAACAAAACAAAACAAAAAAAACACCCAGUUUUUCCAUGGAGUGAUAGAAUUUAAUUGAUGAGCUUGACGAGCUUAAUUACAGAAGGGAGAGCUCCAAAAUACAUGUCUGCAGCUUCACUCGUGCCUGAGCCAGCGAGAGCAGGAACCCACCAGAAGGAAGAAACUCCAAACACAUCCGAACAUCAGAAGGAACAAACUCCAGAUGCGCCACCUUAAGAGCUGUAACACUCACCACGAGGGUCCGGGGCUUCGUUCUUGAAGUCAGUGAGACCAAGAACCCACCAAUUCUGGACACAGGAGCACAGGUGUCUUUUCAAGAUUCUGAUUUCAUUUCCUUUGGAUGUAUACCCAGCAGUGGGAUUUGUGUUCAUAAGGAGAUUUUCCAUGUCUACUCUGGUGCCAUUACUGGAAGAUCCUUCCAUUUUCUACAAGGGAUUUUUACCUAUAUUGUUGAGAAGUGGAAUCCCCUUUGGUAGCUCUGUACCUUCAGCUUCUCCCUCUGUGGUAUCCAUUCCCUGCCACAACUAUAGAAUCUGCAAUCUGUCUCUUCUAGAUGAAAGUUAAGAGUUGAUCAUUUCUGCCUGGAAAACUCUUACUCAUUUUCAAAAUGAAUUGGCCUUCUAGAGGACACCCAAAGCUCGGCUGUCUCUUUGGAAGAAAACUACAAAUAUGGUGACAUGCUUCCCGAUUCUGAUGUUAUUUAGUUCAGAUAAAUUUCUUGUUGUAAUUAGUAACACCUUACACUUCUGGAACACUUUACAUAAUAAAGCAUAAUCACAUACAUUAUUAUGGUGGAUUCCAGCUAUCA